rfam:Hordeum vulgare subsp. vulgare, WGS project CAJW01000000 data, contig: morex_contig_117777
GUAGUACUCCCUCCGUUCGAAAAUAUUGUCAUAGGAAUGAUUGUAUCUAGAUAUAUUUUAGUUCUUGAUACAUUCAUAUUUAUUCGUUUGUGUCACAAGUAAUUCCAGACUGAGGGAGUAGUUG